UGGCUCAAUUGGUGGAGCAUGAGAUUUUUGAUCUCAGGGCUGUAAGUUCUAGCCUCAC
rnacentral:tRNA from 1 species